UACAGAGGUGGCAAGCGUUGUUCGGAUUUACUGGGCGUAAAGGACGCGUAGGCGGCGCAACAAGUCACUUGUGAAAUCUCCGGGCUUAACCCGGAGCGGCCAAGUGAUACUGUCGUGCUAGAGUGCGGAAGGGGCUACUGGAAUUCUCGGUGUAGCGGUGAAAUGCGUAGAUAUCGAGAGGAACACCUGCGGCGAAGGCGGGUAGCUGGGCCGACACUGACGCUGAGGCGCGAAAGCCAGGGGAGCGAACGGG
rnacentral:rRNA from 1 species